GACGAACGCUGGCGGCGUGCUUAACACAUGCAAGUCGAACGAGUGGCGAACGGGUGAGUAACACGUGGGUGAUCUGCCUUGCACCUCGGGAUAAGCUUGUGAAAAUGGGUCAAAUACCGGAUAGUGCAAGAUGAGCUCGCGGUUUAUCAGCUUGGCGGUGGGGUAAUGGUUACCAAGGCGCGACGGGUAGCCGGCCUGAGAGGGGGUACGGCCACAGUGGGACUGAGAUACGGCCCAGACUGCUACGGGGGGCAGCAGUGGGGAAUAUUGCACAAUGGGCGGAAGCCUGAUGCAGCGACGCCGCGUGGGGGAUGAAGGCCUUCGGGUUGUAAACGCCUUUCGACAGGGACGCGGUACCUGUAUAAGAAGCACCGGCUAACUACGUGCCAGCAGCCGCGGUAAUAC
rnacentral:rRNA from 1 species